GUAGGUGAACCUGCGGAAGGAUCAUUAUUGAAAUAAACCUGAUGGGUUGUUGCUGGCUCUCUAGGGAGCAUGUGCACGCCUUGUCAUCUUUAUAUCUCCACCUGUGCACCUUUUGUAGACCUUUCGGGGUCUAUGUUGCUUCAUUUUUCCACAAUGUAUGUUAAUAGAAUGUUGUGCCCUGUAUAAUAUAUACAACUUUCAGCAACGGAUCUCUUGGCUCUC
rnacentral:misc_RNA from 1 species